rnacentral:rRNA from 1 species
UACGGAGGGAGCUAGCGUUGUUCGGAAUUACUGGGCGUAAAGCGCACGUAGGCGGCUUUGUAAGUUAGAGGUGAAAGCCUGGGGCUCAACUCCAGAAUUGCCUUUAAGACUGCAUCGCUAGAAUUGUGGAGAGGUAAGUGGAAUUCCGAGUGUAGAGGUGAAAUUCGUAGAUAUUCGGAAGAACACCAGUGGCGAAGGCGACUUACUGGACACAUAUUGACGCUGAGGUGCGAAAGCGUGGGGGAGCAAACAGG